UAAAAUAUAGUUUAUUUAGAUAUGUUCAUAUCGAUUUUUGGAUUGCUAUUUGAUUUUAUAAUCGAUUUAUGGAUUUAAUUUCGUUUAAUUAUUAAUUAUAUUUAAAUAAUUAUUUAACAUUUUAAACCCCGUGGGCGUUCGGGAAAAUUUCGCCAUUAAGCUAUUUGGGACAUUCUGAGCAUUAUUCGUGUUUUAACUUUUUCAAUCCGGAGUACGGUUUGCCCCGUAAAUGAUCCGGUACGAUUUUAUUAAUAUUUUUAAAGUUAAUAAUUAUCUGGUUGUCUCGUAAUGCGUGAAGCAUAUUCCAGGAAUAUUCCAAAGCAUAUUCAAGGAAUAUUCCAAAGCAUAUUCAAGGAAUAUUCUCUUAUCUUCUUCUAUAAAUAUCCUUUACCAGUUUAUCUCGCACGUACAAUCAUUUCGUCAGUUUCUCUGCACGAAUACCGAGAGAAGACGAACGGGUGUUCUUCGUGUUCUUCAUGUUCAAACGAGGAUUUGAAGGCGUUAUUGGAAUCCGAUGGAGGCGUAUAAAUAGUCAAAACGAAGCUCUCGACGCGUAGAAUCUAGUUUAAUCAACCAUAACACUGCAGAUUUCACGGAAAAGCUUAAAGGUGAAUUGCAUAAUUGAGAUUGCGAAUAUGGCUAAGGCUAAGCGAGGAGUCAGAGUAUAGAGUAUACAGAGGACAAGUGGAAAUGUUCAGGGAGAUUGUCAAGGUGGGUUCAAAAUAGAAUUCUAUUGAUGAGAUUAAAUUGUAAGUCAUAAUUUAAAUAGAUUGGCAGUGAUUCUUCUCAUCGAAGAUGAUCUGAGGUUGUAAGACAUUGUUUAUUUAUAGUGGUUGAUUCUAAUUUCAAUACUGUAACCUGGAUGCGAUCCUGUUUUUAGGGGGUUAAAGUGUUUUCUUUUAAAUCUUUUA